rnacentral:tRNA from 1 species
CCCUGCUUAGCACAGUAGAGCGCUCCGCUUGAAAUGGAGAGGUCCCGGGUUUGAUUCCCGGGCCAGGCG